rnacentral:rRNA from 1 species
UACAGAGGGUGCAAGCGUUAAUCGGAAUUACUGGGCGUAAAGCGCGCGUAGGUGGUUUGUUAAGUUGGAUGUGAAAUCCCCGGGCUCAACCUAGGAACUGCAUUCAAAACUGACUGACUAGAGUAUGGUAGAGGGUGGUGGAAUUUCCUGUGUAGCGGUGAAAUGCGUAGAUAUAGGAAGGAACACCAGUGGCGAAGGCGACCACCUGGACUAAUACUGACACUGAGGUGCGAAAGCGUGGGGAGCAAACAGG